rnacentral:tRNA from 1 species
GAAAGGAUGGCCCAGUGGUUAGGGCCCUAGCCUGCAACAAUGGAGACCUGGGUUCAAUUCCCAGCUCUGUGU